AUUGAACGCUGGCGGCAGGCCUAACACAUGCAAGUCGAGCGGAGCGGCGGACGGGUGAGUAAUGCCUAGGAAUCUGCCUGGUAGUGGGGGAUAGGGUCCGGAAACGGGCGCUAAUACCGCAUCCUAUCAGAUGCACAUAGUUCGGAUUUGCUAUUGCGUGGGUGAAAGGCCUACCAAGGCGACGCUCCGUAACUGUUCUGAGAGGAUGAUCAGUCACACGGGAACGGAGACACGGUCCAUACUCCUACGGGAGGCAGCAGUGGGGAAGAUUGGACAAUGGGCGAAAGCCUGAUCCAGCCAUGCCGCGUGUGUGAAGAAGGUCUUCGGAUUGUAAAGUACUUUAAGUUGGGAGGCGUUACCAACAGAAUAAGCACCGGCUAACUCCGUGCCAGCAGCCGCGGUAAUAC
rnacentral:rRNA from 1 species